AGGCACGGAAACGUGCUCUUCCGCAAGGACUGCUACACAGGUGCUGCAUGGCUGUCGUCAGCUCGUGCCGUGAGGUGUUGGGUUAAGUCCCGCAACGAGCGCAACCCUUGCCACUAGUUGCCAACACGUUAUGGUGGGAACUCUAGCGGGGCUGCCUGGGUUAACCAGGAGGAAGGUGAGGAUGAUGUCAAGUCCGCAUGGCCCUUACAUCUAGGGCUACACACGUGCUACAAUGGUCGGUACAAUAGGAAGCAAGAUCGAAAGAUGGAGCAAAUCCAAAAAAGCCGGCCCCAGUUCAGAUUGAGGUCUGCAACUCGACCUCAUGAAGUUGGAAUUGCUAGUAAUCGCGUAACAAGCAUGACGCGGUGAAUACGUUCCCGGGCCUUGUACACACCGCCCGUCACACCAUGGGAGUUGGUUUUACCCGAAGCCGGUGCGCUAACCGCAAGGAGGCAAGCCGACCACGGUAAGGUCAGCGACUGGGGUGAAGUCGUAACAAGGUAGCCCUAGGGGAACCUGGGGCUGGAUCACCUCCUU
rnacentral:rRNA from 1 species